AUGUUGCUACGUACGUCGAGGAGGAGGAGCACUGGGACUCUGCAGGCAGCCCGUGGUUCUCAAGCCAGGUGGCGUGGCGGAACAAUGGGUGGGUAUGCAUCUCAGUACUCACAUACUGGUCCAGUCCGGGGAACAAUGCGAUUCCUAAGGCUCGUAAGGCAGCCAAGCCAGUCGGAACACUGCUCCACUCAUGUCUCUGCUGGAGGCAAAGUCAAAUCUUCUGCUGAAGUGGUUCUAGAACAGACCCAGCAACGCAUGGGCGUAAAGGUUUCCAACUAUUUUGCUAAAGAUACUACUUGA
rnacentral:rRNA from 1 species